rnacentral:rRNA from 1 species
AGAACGAACGCUGGCGGCAUGCCUAACACAUGCAAGUCGAACGCUUUUGGGGCUUCGGUCCCAAAGGAGUGGCGCACGGGCGAGUAGCGCGUGGGAACCUGCCCUGUUGUGGGGGAUAACCGAGGGAAACUUCGGCUAAUACCGCAUACGCCCGGGGGAAACUCCGGGGAAAGAUUUAUCGCAGCAGGAGGGGCCCGCGUCGGAUUAGGUAGUUGGUGGGGUAACGGCCCACCAAGCCUGUGAUCCGUAGCUGGUCUGAGAGGAUGAUCAGCCACACUGGGACUGAGACACGGCCCAGACUCCUACGGGAGGCAGCAGUGGGGAAUAUUGGACAAUGGGCGCAAGCCUGAUCCAGCAAUGCCGCGUGAGUGAUGAAGGCCUUCGGGUUGUAAAGCUCUUUCGCACGCGACGAUGAUGACGGUAGCGUGAGAAGACGCCCGGCUAACUCGUGCCAGCAGCCGC